GAAAUAAACCUGAUGAGUUGUUGCUGGCUCUCUCUAGAGAGCAUUGUGCACGCUUGUCAUCUUUAUGUCUCCACCUGUGCACAUUUUGUAGACCUGGAUCACUCUCUGAAAUGCUAACCCAGCAUUUCAGGUUGGAGGAAUUUGACUUUGUUGUCUUUCCUUGCAUUUCUAGGUCUAUGUUUCUUUUCAUAUAAUCUUAUUGUGAUAUAAUGGACCCUAUAUAAUAUAAACCUAUACAACUUUCAGCAACGGAUCUCUUGGCUCU
rnacentral:misc_RNA from 1 species